AAAAAUAACAAAAUAAUAUUUAAUUUCAUUGAACGGGGUUAGAUGGUCGGACGGGUUUGGGUCGAUAGUAAUACGAGACGGUAUACCACGGAUAAAAUUCAUUAGAUAUAUUUAAUUUCUCUUUUGGUCAUAGGAGUGUAGUAAUCCCACCGGUGUUUUUCGUUAUGGUGGUUUUUUUUUUGGAUUUCUUCUCGCGUGAUGGGAUUCUUAGAUCUGAGGUUGGUGCCUCCGUUUUCGGCGGUUCUGGUCUUGCUGAUGGCUCGCCAUUGAUGUCUGAGGUUAGUUUGUUCAGGUGUAUUU
rnacentral:sRNA from 1 species